AACACAUGCAAGUCGAGGGGCAUCAGGAAGAAAGCUUGCUUUCUUUGCUGGCGACCGGCGCACGGGUGAGUAACACGUAUCCAACCUGCCCUUUACUCGGGGAUAGCCUUUCGAAAGAAAGAUUAAUACCCGAUAGCAUAAUGAUUCCGCAUGGUUUCAUUAUUAAAGGAUUCCGGUAAAGGAUGGGGAUGCGUUCCAUUAGGUUGUUGGUGAGGUAACGGCUCACCAAGCCUUCGAUGGAUAGGGGUUCUGAGAGGAAGGUCCCCCACAUUGGAACUGAGACACGGUCCAAACUCCUACGGGAGGCAGCAGUGAGGAAUAUUGGUCAAUGGGCGCUAGCCUGAACCAGCCAAGUAGCGUGAAGGAUGAAGGCUCUAUGGGUCGUAAACUUCUUUUAUAUAAGAAUAAAGUGCAGUAUGUAUACUGUUUUGUAUGUAUUAUAUGAAUAAGGAUCGGCUAACUCCGUGCCAGCAGCCGCGGUAAUACGGAGGAUCCGAGCGUUAUCCGGAUUUAUUGGGUUUAAAGGGAGCGUAGGUGGACUGGUAAGUCAGUUGUGAAAGUUUGCGGCUCAACCGUAAAAUUGCAGUUGAUACUGUCAGUCUUGAGUACAGUAGAGGUGGGCGGAAUUCGUGGUGUAGCGGUGAAAUGCUUAGAUAUCACGAAGAACUCCGAUUGCGAAGGCAGCUCACUGGACUGCAACUGACACUGAUGCUCGAAAGUGUGGGUAUCAAACAGGAUUAGAUACCCUGGUAGUCCACACAGUAAACGAUGAAUACUCGCUGUUUGCGAUAUACAGUAAGCGGCCAAGCGAAAGCAUUAAGUAUUCCACCUGGGGAGUACGCCGGCAACGGUGAAACUCAAAGGAAUUGACGGGGGCCCGCACAAGCGGAGGAACAUGUGGUUUAAUUCGAUGAUACGCGAGGAACCUUACCCGGGCUUAAAUUGCAGUGGAAUGAUGUGGAAACAUGUCAGUGAGCAAUCACCGCUGUGAAGGUGCUGCAUGGUUGUCGUCAGCUCGUGCCGUGAGGUGUCGGCUUAAGUGCCAUAACAAGCGCAACCCUUAUCUUUAGCUACUAACAGGUUAUGCUGAGGACUCUAGAGAGACUGCCGUCGUAAGAUGUGAGGAAGGUGGGGAUGACGUCAAAUCAGCACGGCCCUUACGUCCGGGGCUACACACGUGUUACAAUGGGGGGUACAGAAGGCAGCUAGCGGGUGACCGUAUGCUAAUCCCAAAAUCCUCUCUCAGUUCGGAUCGAAGUCUGCAACCCGACUUCGUGAAGCUGGAUUCGCUAGUAAUCGCGCAUCAGCCACGGCGCGGUGAAUACGUUCCCGGGCCUUGUACACACCGCCCGUCAAGCCAUGGGAGCCGGGGGUACCUGAAGUACGUAACCGCAAGGAUCGUCCUAGGGUAAAACUGGUGACUGGGGCUAAGU
rnacentral:rRNA from 1 species